GACGAACGCUGGCGGCGUGCCUAACACAUGCAAGUCGAGCGACCAACCAGGGCUUGCGCUGGGCCAAAGCUACGAACGGGUGAGUAACACGUGGGUAACCUACCCCGAUAACCGGCACAACUCGAGUAAACUCGGGCUAAUACCUGAUGUACUAACUUUUGAUCGGUUCGGUUCGUAAAUGAAAGUCCGUCCUGCUUACCCGGAUGGGCCCGCGCUGCAUUAGUUUGUUGGUUAGGUAACGGCUUACCAAGGCAGCGAUGGAUAGCUGGUCUGAGAGGAUGAUCGGCCACACUGGGACUGAGACACGGCCCAGACUCCUACGGGAGGCAGCAGUAGGGAAUCUUGCGCAAAGGGCGAAAGCGUGACGGAGCAACGCCGCGUGAGUGAAGAAGGCCUUCGGGUCGUAAACCUCUUUUAGGAGGGAAGAACGUUUGGCUGUGAAUCGGCGUCCGGACUGACGGUACCUAAACAAGAAGCCACGGCUAACUACGUG
rnacentral:rRNA from 1 species